rnacentral:rRNA from 1 species
UACGAAGGGAGCUAGCGUUGUUCGGAAUCACUGGGCGUAAAGCGCGCGUAGGCGGCUUUUCAAGUCAGGGGUGAAAUCCCACAGCUUAACUGUGGAACUGCCUUUGAAACUGUAAAGCUGGAAUGUGAGAGGGGAUGGCGGAAUUCCUAAUGUAGAGGUGAAAUUCGUAGAUAUUAGGAGGAACACCCGUGGCGAAAGCGGCCAUCUGGAUCACAAUUGACGCUGAUGCGCGAAAGCGUGGGUAGCAAACAGG